rnacentral:rRNA from 1 species
GACGAACGCUGGCGGCGUGCUUAACACAUGCAAGUCGAACGGGCCUGUCUUCUUUUUUGGGGGUGGGUUGAGUGGCGAACGGGUGAGUAUCACGUGAGUAACCUGCCCUUCGGUCCUGGAUAACCGCUUGAAAGGGCGGCUAAUACGGGGUGGUCCGGUUGGUCCGCAUGGGCUGGUCGGGAUAGAUUCACUGUUUUUGGUGUUUCGGCGGGGGAUGGGCUCGCGGCCUAUCAGCUUGUUGGUGGGGGGAUGGCCUACCAAGGCGGUGACGGGUAGCCGGCCUGAGGGGGUGGGCGGCCACACUGGGACUGAGAUACGGCCCAGACUCCUGCGGGAGGCAGCAGUGGGGGGUAUUGCACAAUGGGCGGAAGCCUGAUGCAGCGACGUCGCGUGAGGGAUGGAGGCCUUCGGGUUGUGAACCUCUGUUUCCGGUGGUGAAGGCCCUGUCCGUGUGGUGGGGUUGACGGUAGCCGGGGAUGAAGCGCCGGCUAACUACGUG